GACGAACGCUGGCGGCGUGCCUAAUACAUGCAAGUCGAGCGCAGGAAAUCGACGGAACCCUUCGGGGGAAGUCGAUGGAAUGAGCGGCGGACGGGUGAGUAACACGUAAAGAACCUGCCCUCAGGUCUGGGAUAACCACGAGAAAUCGGGGCUAAUACCGGAUGGGUCAUCGGACCGCAUGGUCCGAGGAUGAAAGGCGCUUCGGCGUCGCCUGGGGAUGGCUUUGCGGUGCAUUAGCUAGUUGGUGGGGUAAUGGCCCACCAAGGCGACGAUGCAUAGCCGACCUGAGAGGGUGAUCGGCCCCACUGGGACUGAGACACGGCCCAGACUCCUACGGGAGGCAGCAGUAGGGAAUCUUCCACAAUGGACGAAAGUCUGAUGGAGCAACGCCGCGUGAACGAUGAAGGCCUUCGGGUCGUAAAGUUCUGUUGUAAGGGAAGAACAAGUGCCGCAGGCAAUGGCGGCACCUUGACGGUACCUUGCGAGAAAGCCACGGCUAACUACGUGCCAGCCGCCGCAGUAAAAC
rnacentral:rRNA from 1 species